GAGUUUGAUCAUGGCUCAGAUUGAACGCUGGCGGCAUGCCUAACACAUGCAAGUCGAACGGUAACAGGCUCUUUGGAGUGCUGACGAGUGGCGGACGGGUGAGUAAGGCAUGGGGACCUGGCUCAUAGAGGGGGACAACCCGGGGAAACUCGGGCUAAUACCGCAUACGCCCUACGGGGGAAAGCGGGGGACCUUCGGGCCUCGCGCUAUGAGAUGGACCCAUGUCCGAUUAGCUAGUUGGUAGGGUAAAGGCCUACCAAGGCGACGAUCGGUAGCUGGUCUUAGCGGAUGAUCAGCCACACUGGGACUGAGACACGGCCCAGACUCCUACGGGAGGCAGCAGUGGGGAAUAUUGGACAAUGGGCGCAAGCCUGAUCCAGCAAUGCCGCGUGGGUGAAGAAGGCCUGCGGGUUGUAAAGCCCUUUUGGUGGGGAGGAAAAGCCUGGUGUUAAGAGCGCUGGGUGUUGACGUUACCUACAGAAGAAGCACCGGCUAACUCCGUGCCAGCAGCCGCGGUAAUACGGAGG
rnacentral:rRNA from 1 species